GUUAGCUUCUCCUUUGCUGGGGUCUGAAGCCCAGGUCCUUUGAGUGCAGGCCACUCACUCUGGGAGAAAGCAACUGGCUAUGUCAUGAGGAAAUUGAAACCACCUAUGGAGAAAGGCCCACAUGGAUUCUGUAAGUCUGCUACGGUGACAUUUCUGGUUAGGAGUCAGAGUGGAUGGGACACUGAGCAAUAAGGAUGCAGAGACAUGAUGGCUGAAGCUGGAGCUUUUCCCUGAAGCAACCACCUGUUGGAAACUUCAUGUUGAAGAUGACUGAAUAAUAAGACAGAGGGGUCUGGGUCCCUGGUGGAUAUUCCAGAUCUGGGUGUUCGUGGAGAUAUGAGAAAGCAAUAAACUUCAAUUU
rnacentral:lncRNA from 10 species